CACAUGCAAGUCCGAACGGUAACAGGAAGCAGCUUGCUGCUUCGCUGACGAGUGGCGGACGGGUGAGUAAUGUCUGGGAAACUGCCUGAUGGAGGGGGAUAACUACUGGAAACGGUGGCUAAUACCGCAUAACGUCGCAAGACCACAAGAGGGGGACCUUCGGGCCUCUUGCCAUCAGAUGUGCCCAGAUGGGAUUAGCUAUGUUGGUCGAGGUACACGGCUCACCACAGGCGACGAUCCCUACGCUGGUCUGAGAGGAUGACCACGCCACACCUGGAACUAGAGACACGGUCCAUGACUCCUACCGGGAGGCACGCAUGUGGGGAAUAUUGCACAAUGGGCGCACAGCCUGAUGCACGCCAUGCCGCGUGUAUGAAGAAGGCCUUCGGGUUGUAAAGUACUUUCAGCGGGGAGGAAGGUGUUGUGGUUAAUAACCGCAGCAAUUGACGUUACCCGCAGAAGAAGCACCGGCUAACUCCGUGCCAGCAGCCGCGGUAAUACGGAGGGUGCAAGCGUUAAUCGGAAUUACUGGGCGUAAAGCGCACGCAGGCGGUCUGUCAAGUCGGAUGUGAAAUCCCCGGGCUCAACCUGGGAACUGCAUUCGAAACUGGAUGGCUUGAGUCUUGUAGAGGGGGGAUGAAUUCCAGGUGUAGCGGUGAAAUGCGUAGAGAUCUGGAGGAAUACCGGUGGCGAAGGCGGCCCCCUGGACAAGACUGACGCUCAGGUGCGAAAGCGUGGGAGAAACAGGAUAGAUACCUGGAGCCACGCCGAAACAUGUCUACUUGAGGUGUGCCUGAGCUGGUUCCGAGUACGCGUAAGAACCGCUGGAGACGGCGCAGUAAACUCAAUGAUUGCGGGCCCCAAAGGGGAGAUGG
rnacentral:rRNA from 1 species